rnacentral:rRNA from 1 species
CGAAAACUUGGCAAUGCGAGAAAUCGUGACCAGGGAACUCCAAGUGCAUCGGGUAAGACCGAUGCUUUUCUUGACUCUUCAAAGGUCUUGGAAUAAGGGGUGGGUAAGGACGGUGCCAGCCGCCGCGGUAAUACCGGCGCCUCAAGUGGUAGUCGCUUUUAUUGGGCCUAAAACGUCCGUAGCCGGUUUGGUACAUUCGUGGGUAAAUCAAGGCGCUCAACGUCUUGAAUUCUGCGAGCACGGCCAGACUUGGGACCGGGUGAGGUGUGGGGUACCCUCAGGGUAGGGGUAAAAUCCUGUCAUCCUGAGAGGACCACCUGUUGCGAAGGCGCCACACUAGAACGGAUCCGACGGUCAGGGACGAAGCCUAGGGGCACGAACCGGAUUAGAUACCCGGGUAGUCCUAGGUGUAAACGCUGUGGACUUGAUGUUGGGAGUGCUCCGAGCACCCUCAGUGUCGAAGCGAAGGUGAUAAGUCCACUGCCUGGGGAGUACGGUCGCAAGGCUGAAACUUAAAGGAAUUGGCGGGGGAGCACUGCAACCUGAGGAUUGUGCGGUUU